UUCUAAAGCAAUUUGCGAGUCGAGAGGUGCAAGACCUCGGCGCACUGCUCAGUAACACGUGGACAACCUACCCUGUGGAGGGGGAUAACCCCGGAAAACUGGGGAUAAUACCCCAUAGGUUAGGGAGGCUGGAAUGCCCCCUAGCUCAAAGGUCCGCCGCCACAGGAUGGGUCUGCGGCCGAUUAGGUAGUUGUUGGGGUAACGGCCCAACAAGCCUUUGAUCGGUACGGGUUGUGGGAGCAAGAGCCCGGAGAUGGAUUCUGAGACACGAAUCCAGGCCCUACGGGGCGCAGCAGGCGCGAAAACUUUACAAUGCGGGAAACCGUGAUAAGGGAACUCCGAGUGUCCGUCAAUGCGGACUGUCCGUAUGUUUAAAAAGCAUGCGAAGAAAGGGCCGGGCAAGACCGGUGCCAGCCGCCGCGGUAAUACCGGCGGCUCGAGUGGUGGCCACUAUUACUGGGCUUAAAGCGUUCGUAGCUGGGUUGUUAAGUCUCUUGGGAAAUCUACCGGCUUAACCGAUAGGCGUCCAAGGGAUACUGGCAAUCUAGGGACCGGGAGAGGUGAGGGGUACUUCAGGGGUAGGAGUGAAAUCCUGUAAUCCUUGGGGGACCACCUGUGGCGUAGGCGCCUCACCAGAACGGCUCCGACAGUGAGGGACGAAAGCUGGGGGAGCAAACCGGAUUAGAUACCCGGGUAGUCCCAGCCGUAAACGAUGCGCGUUAGGUGUAUCGAUGACCACGAGUCAUCGAGGUGCCGAAGGGAAACCGUGAAACGCGCCGCCUGGGAAGUACGGUCGCAAGGCUGAAACUUAAAGGAAUUGGCGGGGGAGCACCACAACAGGUGGAGCCUGCGGUUUAAUCGGACUCAACGCCGGAAAUCUCACCGGAUAAGACAGCUGAAUGAUAGCCGGGCUGAAGACUCUGCUUGACUAGCUGAGAGGAGGUGCAUGGCCGUCGUCAGUCGUACUAGANUU
rnacentral:rRNA from 1 species